GAGCAAAAAUUCGAGAUCGGUCCAUAAACGAGCUCGAGUUCAAUUCACAGUCCGUCCGACUCGAGUGCUCGACGAGCGGCUCGAGUAUGCGGAACGACGGAAGUGCGAAAGGCGGCAAAGCCAAAUGCUAAGGCGGAAUCAGAACUUUUGGUCACGGGCCUCACGGCGGAAUGGGCGGAUAAGCCAAAGUCCAAAACGAAAAAUAUUUUAAAACUUUUGUUGUGAACCGGUUCAUUAGGUUUUUUUGUCCGAGUCGUGAGAAGCAUUGGGGCGUCGUUCCUGUUCGUGACCUAGGCUUCUCUUCGUCGUCUUCCGUUCUUCAUGCGAGAGGCGACUUGGGAAUAGACACUUCCUCAUCUCUCCGUCUGGAAGCAAGAUCUAUAACAUCAGUUAGGAGAACUGAUCUUGAACUUCAGAUUCGAUUUUCAAAAGAAGUGGUUGCCGGCAUGCUGGUGAACUUGUGUUGUUACUAAAGAUUUUAUUACGAGAAGGGUCUUAAAGAUUCAUAUUUGAGCUCUAAAGAGAAGAUGUCACCAGAACCAAUUGUUCAAGAUAACAUUAGUGAGGAGAUUAUUUUGGAGACGGUAGAUGAAGUACCAUCUAGUAGCAUACAAAGAAAUAUUGGGUUAAAUGAAAAUGAUGACGUAGUGGAAGAAAAUAAGGUUGUAGAAGAUAUCAUCUGUGAGCAAGAAGAAGAAGCAAAUCCUGUUGCAAUAAAAAAACGAAAGAUAAAAUCAAUUUACUGUUCUUGAAUUGUUAAUAUAAACCUGCUAAAUUAAUUUACUGUUCUUGCAUAUCAAUGAUAGAAUCAUGUUAUUUGUGGAAUGUGGAUUCUAAGACAUGCCGUUUCAUUGCUAUAAAUUAGAUAGGUCAUAGGAGUAUAGGACUGAUUCUCUGAAUAUAAUAACUCUUCAAUUGUUUUCAUGUUUGUAAGUUUAAUUAGGCACAUAAAGUAAAGUGAUUUUUUUUAUGAGCAGUCAAUUGACAGUUAUAA